CCUACGGGGGGCAGCAGUGGGGAAUUUUGGACAAUGGGGGGAACCCUGAUCCAGCGACGCCGCGUGAGUGAAGAAGUAUUUCGGUAUGUAAAGCUCUAUCAGCAGGGAAGAAAGAAAUGAUGGUACCUGACUAAGAAGCCGCGGCUAACUACGGGCCAGCAGCCGCGGUAAUACGGAGGGGGCCAGCGUUAUCCGGAUUUACUGGGUGUAAAGGGAGCGUAGACGGCGAUGCAAGUCUGAAGUGAAAGGCGGGGGCCCAACCCCUGGACUGCUUUGGAAACUGUAUGGCUGGAGUGCAGGAGAGGUAAGUGGAAUUCCUAGUGUAGCGGUGAAAUGCGUAGAUAUUAGGAGGAACACCAGUGGCGAAGGCGGCUUACUGGACUGUAACUGACGUUGAGGCUCGAAAGCGUGGGGAGCAAACAGGAUUAGAUACCCCUGUAGUC
rnacentral:rRNA from 1 species